CAGCCGCCGCGGUAAUACCGGCGGCCCGAGUGGCGGUCACUCUUAUUGGGCUUAAAGCGUCCGUAGCCGGGGUGGGAAGUCCUCCGGGAAAUCUGGCCGCUUAACGGUCAGAAUGCCGGAGGAUACUCCCAGCCUAGGGAGCGGGAGAGGCCGAGGGUAUUCCCGGAGUAGGGGUGAAAUCCUAUAAUCCCGGGAGGACCACCUGUGGCGAAGGCGCUCGGCUGGAACGCGUCCGACGGUGAGGGACGAAGGCCAGGGGAGCAAACCGGAUUAGAUACCCGGGUAGUCCUGGCUGUAAACGAUGCGGACUUUGUGUCGGACAAGCUAUGAGCUUGUCCGGUGCCGGAGGGAAACCGUUAAGUCCGCCGCCUGGGGAGUACGGCCGCAAGGCUGAAACUUAAAGGAAUUGGCGGG
rnacentral:rRNA from 1 species